ACCUACACUAUCAACCUGCACCUGGUAAGCCAAGCACGUCCUGCCGGUUCAGGCGAGGGAUGAGCUAUGGUUUUCCAUAAGUAGAAGCAGCCCUGAGUCUAUGACCUUGAACUAAGCAAAGUGAGCAAAGCAUGUCUCUGCUUUUCACAGUGAGGAGACAGUUCGUAGCAGGUCCCUGCUAGCACAGCAGCUUCAGGGCAGCUGAGCGAAGUCCCGCAGUUACGGCGGUGAGUGGUACAGAGAGUUCAGUCUUUCAUGCUUUUGGACAUUUUGCUUUGAAGGAGCAGUAUAAUGACAAAUAUAGAAAGCAGGGGUUUUGAUUAUACAUUUCUUAUGUGUUUACAUAAAGGUGAGAAUGUGAUUUGGUUAGACAAUCAUUACAAUAUGAAAGUUUGUUAACCCAAGUUUGUGCUCCCACAGUUUUGUAUUUUCUGUAAUUGCUCCUUAACACCAUCUUGGGGCAGGCUCACAGCUUUCCUGAUGUGUUUUAGUUACAAAAGCUGUAGUUCUGCUCUCGACCCUUAUUGGGCGUGACCUGUGACAGGAGGGACCUUUCCUACUCUGUGCUCUUUCACUCUCCUCUCCCCAUUGCUGGGAGUUGUACGUUUAUGCAGCCUUUUUUGGAUUAUCUGUUGAAAUAAGGUGCAGAUGCCCUGUGACUCAGGAGCUGUACCUCCAGGAACUGAGCGCUAAAGGUGUGCUCAUACAACCUUAUCUGAAAGAUUUUCCUACGUGGCAAUUUUUAUACUUCUUCAUCAACCAUUCCCUUGACUGCUUCUCUUUCAACUCAUAUGCAUAAAAGGCUUCACCUCAGGACCAGAUAACAAAUCAGUUAAUAACAAGAAGGAUAAGCAUUCAGAACUUGCCAAGCAAAAAGAGAGAUUGGUAUGCACUAAGGCAUCCAUUUGAAAGGAUCAGCACUUGAGCUGCAAUGAAGCCAGUAGGAGAAAAGCAAGCCCCUCCUAGAACCAGUGUUCCUCCUAACUUCACACUCUGUGCACAACACUGAACUCCUCAAUGGUCAAAUACUCUCGUCUAUAAUAGAUAGGAAUGUAGUACUUAGCUCCCACAAGGAAAUGAUGACCUUCCCCUAGAUUCAGCAAAUGCUAUGGUUACGUCUUCUUUUGGGUGAAUUGAGUGUGGUAAGUGAGGGGAAUAUAUGACUGAACUUGUAUAUGUAUUAGGCCUCAGAUUGUCAAGACAGUAUAGGUAACUAUUAUAAGUCAGUUAGUGAAGUGAACUGUAAAAGUCGCCAUAGACAUGUAAGGACACAUGUUAUGUGGACUGACUUUUCCCUUCAUUCAAUCCCGGGAGCAGGAUAUCAUGGGGGUGCAGACUUGGUUG